GUGGAGGUGGCCAGGUGCCACCCGAGCCCAGGCCAGGGGUGUUCAUUGUCCAGUCAGUUCCUUGGCUGGCGCGGCUGUGGACGCAUCCCUUGGAGCGUCUCCAGGGAGGGAAUGCCAGGGCUGCCACCACUGGGGUGUCACAGACAGGGGAAUGCUGGGGCUGCCACCACUGGGGUGUCACACACAGGGGAACGCUGGGGCUGCCCCACUCCUGCCCUGUCCCCAGCAGCUCUGCCAGCACCUCAAGGGGACAGAAAGGCCGAGCCAAAGGGAGGAAGAGUUUUGCUGCGGAGCUUACUCUGGCACACAUCCCACCCCCGAUCCGAGGCUUGUCGCGGUACAGUGGUGACUGGAGGAAACGGACAACCCCCAGUGGAACAUUUCUGAGUCAGCUCCAGACAGAAAUCUGAAUGGGAAAUUAACACUAACCCUAAUCCCCAACCGUAA